rnacentral:rRNA from 2 species
AACGACUCUCGACAACGGAUAUCUCGGCUCUUGCAUCGAUGAAGAACGUAGCGAAAUGCGAUACUUGGUGUGAAUUGCAGAAUCCCGUGAACCAUCGAGUCUUUGAACGCAAGUUGCGCCCGAAGCCAUUAGGCUGAGGGCACGUCUGCCUGGGUGUCACGC